rnacentral:rRNA from 1 species
GAGUGGCGGACGGGUGAGUAACGCGUGGGUAACCUGCCUCAUACAGGGGGAUAACAGUUGGAAACGACUGCUAAUACCGCAUAAGCACACAGGAUCACAUGAUCCGGUGUGAAAAACUCCGGUGGUAUGAGAUGGACCCGCGUCUGAUUAGCCAGUUGGCAGGGUAACGGCCUACCAAAGCGACGAUCAGUAGCCGACCUGGGAGGGUGACCGGCCACAUUGGGACUGAGACACGGCCCAAACUCCUACGGGAGGCAGCAGUGGGGAAUAUUGCACAAUGGGGGAAACCCUGAUGCAGCGACGCCGCGUGAGCGAAGAAGUAUUUCGGUAUGUAAAGCUCUAUCAGCAGGGAAGAAGAAUGACGGUACCUGACUAAGAAGCUCCGGCUAACUACGUGCCAGCAGCCGCGGUAAUACGUAGGGAGCAAGCGUUGUCCGGAUUUACUGGGUGUAAAGGGUGCGUGGGCGGAUGGGCAGUUCAGAAGUGAAAUCCAUGGGGUUUAACCCAUGAACUGCUUUUGAAACUGUUAGUCUUGAGUGAAGUAGAGGUAGGCGGAAUUCCCGGUGUAGCGGUGAAAUGCGUAGAGAUCGGGAGGAACACCAGUGGCGAAGGCGGCCUACUGGGCUUUAACUGACGCUGAGGCACGAAAGUGUGGGUAGCAAACAGGAUUAGAUACCCUGGUAGUCCACACUGUAAACGAUGAUUACUAGGUGUUGGAGGAUUGACCCCUUCAGUGCCGCAGUUAACACAAUAAGUGAUCCACCUGGGGAGUACGACCGCAAGGUUGAAACUCAAAGGAAUUGACGGGGGCCCGCACAAGCAGUGGAGUAUGUGGUUUAAUUCGACGCAACGCGAAGAACCUUACCAAGUCUUGACAUCCUGCGACGGUGCUGGAAACAGUACUUUCCUUCGGGACGCAGAGACAGGUGGUGCAUGGUUGUCGUCAGCUCGUGUCGUGAGAUGUUGGGUUAAGACCCGCAACGAGCGCAACCCUUAUGGUCAGUUACUACGCAAGAGGACUCUGGCCAGACUGCCGUUGACAAAACGGAGGAAGGUGGGGAUGACGUCAAAUCAUCAUGCCCUUUAUGACUUGGGCUACACACGUACUACAAUGGCGUUAAACAAAGAGAAGCAAGACCGCGAGGUGGAGCAAAACUCAGAAACAACGUCCCAGUUCGGACUGCAGGCUGCAACUCGCCUGCACGAAGUCGGAAUUGCUAGUAAUCGCAGAUCAGCAUGCUGCGGUGAAUACGUUCCCGGGCCUUGCACUCACCGCCCGUCA